rnacentral:rRNA from 1 species
UACGGAGGGUGCAAGCGUUUAAUCGGAAUUACUGGGCGUAAAGCGCACGCAGGUGGCUGAGUCAGUCGAUUGUGAAAGCCCUGGGCUUAACCUGGGAAUUGCAGUCGAUACUACUCGGCUCGAGUAUGGGAGAGGGCAGUGGAAUUCCCGGUGUAGCGGUGAAAUGCGUAGAUAUCGGGAGGAACAUCAGUGGCGAAGGCGGCUGCCUGGCCCAAUACUGACACUCAGGUGCGACAGCGUGGGGAGCAAACAGG